CAGUAGCCGCGGUAAUACGAAGGGGGCUAGCGUUGCUCGGAAUGACUGGGCGUAAAGGGCGCGUAGGCGGCGAUCAAAGUCAGGCGUGAAAUUCCUGGGCUCAACCUAGGAAUUGCAUUUGAUACUGUUUGGCUUGAGUUCGGGAGAGGUGAGUGGAAUUCCCAGUGUAGAGGUGAAAUUCGUAGAUAUUGGGAAGAACACCAGUGGCGAAGGCGGCUCACUGGACCGACACUGAUGCUGAGGCGCGAAAGCGUGGGGAGCAAACAGGAUUAGAUACCCCAGUAGUCCCUGUCUCUUAUAC
rnacentral:rRNA from 1 species